UACGGGGGGGGCAAGCGUUGUUCGGAAUUACUGGGCGUAAAGGGCUCGUAGGCGGCCAACUAAGUCGGACGUGAAAUCCCUCGGCUCAACCGGGGAACUGCGUCCGAUACUGGAUGGCUUGAAUCCGGGAGAGGGAUGCGGAAUUCCCAGUGUAGAGGUGAAAUUCGUAGAUAUUGGGAAGAACACCGGUGGCGAAGGCGGCGACCUGGUCCAUUACUGACGCUGAGGCGCGACAGCGUGGGGAGCAAACAGG
rnacentral:rRNA from 1 species